AAUCAACGCUGGCGGCGUGCCUAACACAUGCAAGUCGAACGCGAAAGUCCCGCAAGGGAUUAGUAGAGUGGCAAACGGGUGAGUAACACGUGGGUGACCUGCCUUCGAGCGGGGGAUAACGUCCCGAAAGGGACGCUAAUACCGCAUAACAUCCUGCCUUUUAAGAGGUGGAGAUCAAAGCCGGGGAUUCGCAAGAACCUGGCACUUGAAGAGGGGCCCGCGCCUGAUUAGCUAGUUGGNGGGGUAAUGGCCUACCAAGGCAACGAUCAGUAUCCGGCCUGAGAGGGGCGGACGGACACACUGGGACUGAGACACGGCCCAGACUCCUACGGGAGCAGCAGUGGGGAAUUGUUCGCAAUGGGCGCAAGCCUGACGACGCAACG
rnacentral:rRNA from 1 species